UUUUUUUUACAAUAAAAUUUUCCUUUUUUUUUUACAACAUAAUAAAAUUCUAUUUGAUACAUGCAAAAAUUAGAAAAUAUGGAUAAAAUUUUUAAGUUUGUUAAUGUUAUGAUAAUCAUUUUUUCCCUAUUUCUUGCUUCAACACGAAUUUCCCAUGCUGACAUUCCCAUUCCAUGUAAAACUGAUCGUGAUUGUCCGGUACCUACCAUCUCCCCAUUCCGCCGUCCUAAAAGAAUGAGAUGCCGUAAAGGUUAUUGUAUAGGAUAAUAACUAUAAAGAUCGAAAGAUUAUAUGAUUGUCAGGUCCAAAAAAAAUAUACAAACGCACUACAAGAAUACUCCAUGAGUUCUCAUUUUAUGGGCCCAUAAAAUGAAUUUUCUUUUAACUUUUCUAAUUUCACGUAGCUUAUUAGUUUUGUAUUUUAAGAUGACGCAAGUGAAAUAAAGCAUGAAAAAUAUUAUCAACAA